rnacentral:tRNA from 1 species
GAUAUAGCUCAAUUGGUAGGAGUGCUUGCCUCACAUGCAUAAGGCCCUGGGUUCAAACCCCAGCAUC